AGUGAACGCUGGCGGUAGGCCUAACACAUGCAAGUCGAACGGCAGCACAGUAAGAGCUUGCUCUUACGGGUGGCGAGUGGCGGACGGGUGAGGAAUACAUCGGAAUCUACUUUUUCGUGGGGGAUAACGUAGGGAAACUUACGCUAAUACCGCAUACGACCUACGGGUGAAAGCAGGGGAUCUUCGGACCUUGCGCGAUUGAAUGAGCCGAUGUCGGAUUAGCUAGUUGGCGGGGUAAAGGCCCACCAAGGCGACGAUCCGUAGCUGGUCUGAGAGGAUGAUCAGCCACACUGGAACUGAGACACGGUCCAGCCUCCUACGGGAGGCAGCAGUGGGGAAUAUUGGACAAUGGGCGCAAGCCUGAUCCAGCCAUACCGCGUGGGUGAAGAAGGCCUUCGGGUUGUAAAGCCCUUUUGUUGGGAAAGAAAAGCAGCGGGUUAAUACCCCGCUGUUCUGACGGUACCCAAAGAAUAAGCACCGGCUAACUUCGUG
rnacentral:rRNA from 1 species